CCUCUUCACCGAAGUACCAACAGGUGCUUCCAAAAUGUUUUCUUAGACUAUGGUGCAGUAGGCACAAACCAUGCACAUAUCUUGCACCGAAACUAACACUAUUUCUAAACAGACCAAAGCGAGGUUCCAUAUGACACACGUCAUCAAGGAGUUCCAUCGGGUGCAUCCACAUUGAUUUUCAAGCAUAUUGUAUGUUCCAUGCAAACCGUGCACCUAUCUUGCAUCAAGAUUAGCACUAUCUCCAAACAGACCGAACCGAGCUUCCACUUGAGCCUCUUCAUCUAGGAGUACAAACAGGUGCGUCAAAAAUGGUUUCUCAGACUAUGGUGCAUUAGGCACAAACUAUACACCUAUCUGCAUCGAAACUAACAUUGUCUCCAAACAGAGCGAAGCGAGAUUCCAUGUGACACACGUCAUCUAGGAGUUCCAUUGGGUGCGUCCAAAUUGAUUUCUUAACAUAUGGUACGUUGCAUUCAAACUGUGCAACUAUCUUGCAUCAAGAUUAGCACUAUAUCCGAACAGACCAAAUCGAGCCUCCACUUGAGCCUCUUCAACUAUGAGUACCAUCGAGUGCGUCUAAUAUAGUUUCUUAGCUUAUGGUGCAUUAGGCUUAAACCAUGCACAUAUCUUCUACCAAAACUAACAGUCUCUAAACGAACCGAAGCAAGAUACCAUAUGACACACAUCAUCAAGGAGUUAUAUCAGGUGCGUCCUAAUUCAUUUCUGAGCAUAUCGUAUGUUCCAUGCAAACCGUGCAUCUAUCUUGCAUCAAGAUUAGCACUAUCUCCAAACAGACCAAACCGAGCUUUCACUUUAGCCCCUUGACCUAGGAGUACCAUCGGGUGCGUCCAAAACGGUUUCUUAUCCUAUGGUGCAUUAGGUGCAAACCGUGCACCUAUCUUGCACUGAAACUAACACUGUCUCUAAACGGACCGAAGUGAGAUUCCAUACGACACAUGUCAUCUAGGAGUUCCAUCUGGUGCGUCCAAAUUGAUUUCUGAGCAUAUGGUAUGUUCCAUGCAAAUCGUGCACCUAUCUUGCAUCAAGAUUAGCACUAUCUCUAAACAGACCAAACCGAGACUCCACUUGAGCCUCUUCACCUAGGAGUACCAGCAAGUGCUUCCAAAAUGGUUUCUUAGACUUUGGUGCAUUAGGCGCAAACCGUGCACAUAUCUUGCACCGAAACUAAUACUAUCUCUAAGCACACCAAAGCGAGAUUCCAUAUGACACACGUCAUCAAAGAGUUCUAUCGGGUGUGUCCAAAUUAAUUUCUAAGCAUAUGGUUCGUUCCAUGCAGACCAUGCAUCUAUCUUGCAUUAAGAUUAGCACUAUCUCCAAAUAGAUCGAACCGAGCAUCCACUUGACCCCUUCACCUAGGAGUACCAACAAGUGCGUCCAAAAUAGUUUCUUAGACUAUGGUGCAUUAGCGUGAAACUAGGAUCGUCGUGUCGAUCCUUUGCUGACUGCUCUGCGAGGAGCUUUUCCUUUUNNNNNNNNNNNNNNNNNNNNNNNNNNNNNNNNNNNNNNNNNNNNNNNNNNNNNNNNNNNNNNNNNNNNNNNNNNNNNNNNNNNNNNNNNNNNNNNNNNNNAUUCUGGGAUUACCAAGGUCUCAGAGGGGGAGGGACUCUAUCUUCGUUAUUGUUGAUCGCUUCUCAAAAAUGGCACAUUUUAUUCCAUGUCACAAGAGCGAUGAUGCUUCACACGUUGCUGAUUUGUUUUUCAAGGAGAUUGUUCGUUUACAUGGAGUGCCAAAGACUAUUGUUUCAGACCGAGAUACAAAAUUCCUGAGCUAUUUUUGGAAGACAUUAUGGGCUAAACUUGGCACGAAGUUGUUAUUUUCCACCACUUGUCACCCACAAACGGAUGGGCAAACUGAAGUUGUCAACCGUACCCUGUCCACCAUGCUGCAUGCCGUGCUAAAAAAGAAUUUGAAGCAGUGGGAAGAAUGUCUUCCACAUGUCGAAUUUGCUUAUAAUAGGGCACUACAUUCCACAACAAAUUUUUGUCCAUUUGAAAUUGUUUAUGGUUUUAAGCCACAUACUCCCAUGGAUCUUUUGCCUUUACCAUUACAGGAACAAGUUAACUUGGAUGCAGCGAAGAGAUCCAACUUUAUCAAGAAGCUACAUGAUGAGACAAGAAGAAAUAUUGAGAAGAAAUCAGCACAAUAUGCAAAGCAAGCGAACAAAGGUAAGAAGAAGGUUACAUUUCAGCCCGGUGACCUCGUGUGGUUGCAUCUACGCAAGGAUCGAUUUCCCCAACAACGUAAGAGUAAGUUAUCACCUAGAGGUGAUGGUCCAUUCAAGGUUCUAAAAAAGAUAAAUGAUAAUGCAUACAAAAUUGAGCUGCCACCUGAAUAUUCCAAUGUUAGUCCAACAUUCAAUGUCAAAGACUUGCUUCCAUUUGUUGGUGAGCCUGAGUCGAGGACGACUCCUUCUCAAGAGGGGGAGGCUGAUGAGGACAUCCCUAGCAUUCAUUCAUCUUCAAAUGAAACUCCACUUGAUAUAAGUGGUCCAAUUACAAGAAGUAGAGCUAAACAAUUGGAGAAGGAAAUUCAUUCUCAGGUGAACGCUAACCUUAUGUUUAAUAAUCAGUUUAUGUUGAAUGAUCCUAUACUUUUGAGUUCUUGUUUCAAUGUCCUUAGGAAUGAUGGAGGGUAUGAACCAGCAUGGGAUGAAGAUGGAUUCAAGCCUUUGGACAUCUGAACCAAGAAGCCUAUCGUGUGCAUAAAUAAAAUGGUGGUUCAUUACUUCUGCAUGAGAAGGCAACCAGAAGCUAGAUGGCUGACCCAUGGUACAAAUUCCAAGCAUCACCACGGACAGAAUACAAGGAGUUACGUGGCAUUCUACAGAUGGAUGAAAGCAUCUUUAAGUCUAUGUUGCAGCCCAUCAAACGGUUCAUUAUUUAGACUUCCCAAUAAAGAGUUAUGCUCAUUUUAGUAACUGCUGCCAGAAGCUGAGAAGACGCGCGAACCAGCCACGAAAUCCACUAGUGGAUGUGCAUGCUGUCAUGUAUUCAAAGCUGAACGCCCCUAUCUAUAUAUAUCUCUUGUACUAGACAAUGAAAGGACACAUCUUGCUUGGUUAAAAUUCAGAAUACACAAACUCGUGGAGUUUUGUUUAUGCGUGAGUCUUGAGAGGCUUGCAAAACUUGUUCUUUCGAUUCCUGAGGGAGUUGUAGAACGCCGAACUGCGGUUCAUCCAGUUUGUGCCUUCACGUCUAUACGGCGUGAUUGCGUGGGCUGUUCGUCGGUACGUGGAAGGGUGAUUGUCUCGGUAGUUCGUCGCGUGGACAGCCUCGCGGUGCACUGCCUCUUCACCAGGUCACGCAGCGACAAGUUAUCAAGUUCGCGAAUCCUACGAGAAGAUCGGGCCACAACGACUUGUCUCACGCUAUCCCUAGGCGUGAGCAUAUCAUCUGGUACCAAAGCCUUCGUUUCCUCGGUAGGAUUGUUCUUGAUUUUGGUAGGAUAGAGUUUAAAUACCUACUGUCCACUGAGAGCCAAAAAGAAAACCUACAGCCCAAAUUCAUAUGUGCUACUGAUUUUGUAGUUUGCUUUAUCGAGUUUUAAUCCUUUAAUAUUUGUCUAGUUGCUGAAUUUUUCUUUUCCACAUUGUUCUAGUUAUUAUCUUUGUUCUAAUCAUCAAAUUGCUUGCUGCAUGUACCCAUCCAUCCCACCCUUGAUCUGAUCAUCAUUGCUUGCUGCGUAUAUAUAAACAAACAAAAAAUACCCACCCAUCCCACCCUUGUUUUCUAACCGCCACAUAUUCCCCACCGCAGUUUCUUGUUUUUGUGCUGCACCAUCCAUCUUAGUGAUCCCCUUUAGUUGAAAGUUGUGCUGUGUUUGACACAGAGGUUAAAAGAAAAGAUGUCUAUGGGUCAAAAGAAGGACUGAAAACGAGUUUUUGUUCCAAAAAAAAAGAGAAAAAAAAAGAAAAGCAAGAAAGAAAAAAAAAGAAAAACAAAAAGAGAACUGUGUGCAGCACACCAAAAAGGCGUGAGCAUAUCAGAGUACAAACAGGUGCGUCAAAAAUGGUUUCUUAGACUAUGGUGUAUUAGGCACAAACUAUGCACCUAUCUGCAUCGAAACUAACAUUGUCUCCAAACAAAGCGAAGCGAGAUUCCAUGUGACACACGUCAUCUAGGAGUUCCAUUGGGUGCGUCCAAAUUGAUUUCUUAACAUAUGGUACGUUCCAUUCAAACUGUGCAACUAUCUUGCAUCAAGAUUAGCACUAUAUCCGAACAGACCAAAUCGAGCCUCCACUUGAGCCUCUUCAACUAUGAGUACCAUCGAGUGUGUCUAAUAUAGUUUCUUAGCUUAUGGUGCAUUAGGCGUAAACCAUGCACAUAUCUUCUACCAAAACUAACAGUCUCUAAACGAACCGAAGCAAGAUUCCAAAUGACACACAUCAUCAAGGAGUUAUAUCAGGUGCGUCCUAAUUGAUUUCUGAGCAUAUCGUAUGUUCCAUGCAAACCGUGCAUCUAUCUUGCAUCAAGAUUAGCACUAUCUCCAAACAGACCAAACCGAGCUUUCACUUUAGCCCCUUGACCUAGGAGUACCAUCGGGUGCGUCCAAAACGGUUUCUUAUCCUAUGGUGCAUUAGGUGCAAACCGUGCACCUAUCUUGCACUGAAACUAACACUGUCUCUAAACGGACCGAAGUGAGAUUCCAUACGACACAUGUCAUCUAGGAGUUCCAUCUGGUGCGUCCAAAUUAAUUUCUGAGCAUAUGGUAUGUUCCAUGCAAAUCGUGCACCUAUCUUGCAUCAAGAUUAGCACUAUCUCUAAACAGACCAAACCGAGCCUCCACUUGAGCCUCUUCACCUAGGAGUACCAAUAGGUGCUUCCAAAAUGGUUUCUUAGACUUUGGUGCAUUAGGCGCAAACCGUGCACAUAUCUUGCACCGAAACUAAUACUAUCUCUAAGCACACCAAAGCGAGAUUCCAUAUGACACACGUCAUCAAAGAGUUCUAUCGGGUGUGUCCAAAUUAAUUUCUAAGCAUAUGGUUCGUUCCAUGCAGACCAUGCAUCUAUCUUGCAUCAAGAUUAGCACUAUCUCCAAAUAGAUCGAACCGACCAUCCACUUGAGCCCCUUCACCUCGAAGUACCAACAAGUGCGUCCAAAAUGGUUUCUUAGACUAUGGUGCAUUAGGUGCAAACUGUGCACCUAUCUUGCACCAAAACUAACAAUAUCUCCAAGUGGACUGAAGCAAGAUUCCUUGUGACACACGUCAUCAAGGAGGUCCAUCGGGUGCAUCCAAAUUGAUUUCCAAGCAUAUGGUAUGUUCCAUGCAAAGCAUGCACCUACCUUGCAUAAGUAUUAGCACUAUCUCCAAACUGACCGAACCAAGCUUCCACUUGGGCCUCUUCAUCCAAGAGUACCAAAUAGUGCGUCCAAAAUGGUUUCUUAGACUAUGGUGCAUUAGGCGCAAACUGUGCACCUAUCUUGCACUAAAACUUGCAAUGUCUACAAACGGACAAAAGCAAGAUUCCAUAUGACACACGUCAUCUAGGAGUUCCAUUGGGUGCGUCCAAAUUGAUUUUUAAGCAUAUGGUAUGUUCCUUGCAAAUCAUGCACCUAUCUUGCAUCAAGAUUAGCACUAUCUCCAAACAGAUCAAAUCGAGCUUCCACUUGAGCCUCUUCACCGAAGUACCAACAGUUGCUUACAAAAUGGUUUCUUAGACUAUGGUGCAGUAGGCAAAAACCAUGCACAUAUCUUGCACCGAAACUAACACUGUUUCUAAACAGACCAAAGCGAGAUUCCAUAUGACACACGUCAUCAAGGAGUGUCAUCGGGUGCAUCCACAUUGAUUUCCAAGCAUAUUGUAUGUUCCAUGCAAACCGUGCACCUAUCUUGCAUCAAGAUUAGCACUAUCUCCAAACAGACCGAACCGAGCUUCCACUUGAGCCUCUUCAUCUAGGAGUACAAACAGUUGCUUCAAAAAUGGUUUCUUAGACUAUGGUGCAUUAGGCACAAACUAUGCACCUAUCUUGCACCGAAACUAACAUUGUCACCAAACAGACCGAAGCGAGAUUCCAUAUGACACACGUCAUCUAGGAGUUCCAUUGGGUGCGUCCAAAUUGAUUUCUUACCAUAUGGUAUGUUCUAUGCAUACUGUGCAACUAUCUUGCAUCAAGAUUAGCACUGUAUCCAAACAGACCAAAUCGAGCCUCCACGUGAGCCUCUUCAACUAUGAGUACCAUCGGGUGCGUCUAAAAUGGUUUCUUAGCCUAUGGUGCAAUAGGCGUAAACCGUGCACAUAUCUUCUACCAAAACUAACACUGUCUCUAAACGAACCGAAGCAAGAUUCCAUAUGACACACAUCAUCAAGGAGUUAUAUCAGGUGCGUCCUAAUUGAUUUCUGAGCAUAUCAUAUGUUCCAUGCAAACUGUGCAUCUAUCUUGCAUCAAGAUUUGCACUAUCUGCAAUCAGACUAAACCGAGCUUUCACUUGAGCCCCUUGACCUAGGAGUACCAUUGGGUGCGUCCAAAAUGGUUUCUUAUCCUAUGGUGCAUUAGGUGCAAACCGGUUACCUAUCUUGCACCGAAACUAACAUUGUCUCUAAAUGGACCGAAAUGAGAUUCCAUAUGACAUGUCAUCUAGAAGUUCCAUCUGGUGCGUCCAAAUUGAUUUCUGAGCAUAUGGUAUGUUCCUUGCAAAUCGUGCACCUAUAUUGCAUCAAGAUUAGCACUAUCUCUAAACAGACCGAACCGAGCCUCCACUUGAGCCUCUUCACCUAGGAGUACCAACUGGUGCUUCCAAAAUGGUUUCUUAGACUUUGGUGCAUUAGGCGCAAACCGUGCACAUAUCUUGCAACAAAACUAACACUAUCUCCAAGCACACCAAAGCGAGAUUCCAUAUGACACACGUCAUCAAGAAGUUCUAUCGGGUGUGUCCAAAUUAAAUUCUAAGCAUAUGGUACGUUCCAUGUAGACCGUGCAUCUAUCUUGCAUCAAGAUUAGCACUAUCUACAAAUAGACCAAACCAAGCUUUCAUUUGAGCCGUUUACCUAGGAGUACCAUGGGUGCGUACGAAAUUGUUUCUUAGCCUAUGCUGCAUUAUGUGCAAACCUUGCACCUAUCUUGCACCGAAACUAACACUAUUUCCAGACACACCGUAGCAAUAAUCCGUAUGACACACUUCAUCUAGGAGUUCCAUCAUGUGCGUCCAGAUUGUUUUCCAAGCAUUUGGUAUGUUUCAUGCACCUACCUUGCAUCAAGAUUAGCACUAUCUCCAAACAGACCGAACCAAGCAUCCACUUGAGCCCCUUCACCUAGGAGUACCAACAAGUGCGUCCAAAAUGGUUUCUUAGACUAUGGUGCAUUAGGUGCAAACUGUGCACCUAACUUGCACCAAAACUAACAUUGUCUCUAAACAGACCGAAGCGAGAUUCCAUAUGACACACGUCAUCAAGGAGUUCCAUCGGGUGCAUCGAAAUUGAUUUCCAAGCAUAUGGUAUGUUCCAUGCAAAUCAUGCACCUACCUUGCAUAAGGAUUAGCACUAUCUCCAAACUGACCGGACCAAGCUUCCACUUGAGCCUCUUCAUCCAGGAGUACCAAAUAGUGCGUCCAAAAUGGUUUCUUAGACUAUGGUGCAUUAGGCGUAAACUGUGCACCUAUGUUGCACUAAAACUUACAAUGUCUACAAACGAACCGAAGUAAGAUUCCAUAUGACACACAUCAUUAAGGAGUUCUAUCAGGUGUGUCCAAAUUAAUUUCUAAGCAUAUGGUAUGUUCCAUGCAGACCGUGCACCUAUCUUGCAUCAAGAUUAGCACUAUCUCCAAACAGAUCAAACCGAGCUUCCACUUGAGCCUCUUCACCGAACUACCAAUAGGUGCUUCUAAAAUGGUUUCCUAGACUAUGGUGCAUUAGGCGCAAACCAUGCACAUAUCUUGCACCAAACUAACACUAUUUCUAAAUAGACCAAAGCGAGAUUCCAUAUGACACACGUCAUCAAGGAGUUCCAUCGGGUCCAUCCAAAUUGAUUUCCAAGCAUAUGGUAUGUUCCAUGCAAACCGUGCACCUAUCUUGCAUCAAGAUUAGCACUAUCUCCAAACAGACUGAACCGAGCUUCCACUUGAGCCACUUCAUCUAGGAGUACAAACAGGUGCGUCAAAAAUGGUUUCUUAGACUAUGGGGCAUUAGGCACAAACUAUGCACCUAUCUUGCACCGAAACUAACAUUGUCACCAAACAGACCGAAGCGAGAUUCCAUAUGACACACGUCAUCUAGGAGUUCAAUUGGGUGCGUCCAAAUUGAUUUCUUAACAUAUGGUACGUUCUAUGCAAACUGUGCAACUAUCUUGCAUCAAGAUUAGCACUAUAUCCGAACAGACCAAAUCGAGCCUCCACAUGAGCCUCUUCAACUAUGAGUACCAUCGGGUGCGUCUAAAAUGGUUUCUUAGCCUAUGGUGCAUUAGGCAUAAACCGUGCACAUAUCUUCUACCAAAACUAACACUGUCUCUAAACGAACCGAAGCAAGAUUCCAUAUGACACACAUCAUCAAGGAGUUAUAUCAGGUGCGUCCUAAUUGAUUUCUGAGCAUAUCAUAUGUUCCAUGCAAACCGUGCAUCUAUCUUGCAUCAAGAUUUGCACUAUCUCCAAUCAGACUAAACCGAGCUUUCACUUGGGCCCCUUGACCUAGGAGUACCAUCGGGUGCGUCCAAAAUGGUUUCUUAUCCUAUGGUGCAUUAGGUGCAAACCGGUUACCUAUCUUGCACCGAAACUAACAUUGUCUCUAAACAGACCAAAAUGAGAUUCUAUAUGACAUGUCAUCUAGAAGUUCCAUCUGGAGCGUCCAAAUUGAUUUCUGAGCAUAUGGUAUGUUCCAUGCAAAUCGUGCACCUAUCUUGCAUCAAGAUUAGCACUAUCUCCAAAC
rnacentral:lncRNA from 1 species